ensembl:lncRNA
UUGGUCGUCAUGAAAAAAACCAUAAGGGGUAACACAGUUGUUUUUUACCAGUCGUCAUGAAAAAAACAUAAGGGGUAACGCUGUUGUUUUUUAUUGGUCAUCAUGAAAAAAAACACAAGGGGUAACAUUGUCGUUUUAAUCAAAUGAAACAUGAGGGGUGACACUGUCGUUUUUAUCAAAUGAAACAUGAGGGGUAACACUGUUGUUUUCAUCAAGUGAAACAUAAGGGUUAACACUGUCGUUUUUUUAUCGGUCGUCAUGAAAAAAACAUAAGGGGUAAUACUGUCAAUAUUUAUCAAUUAAAACAAAGGGGGUAACACUGUCGUUUUUAUCAAAUGAAACAUUUUUCUUUGGUCGUCAUGAAAAAAACCAUAAGGGGUAACACUGUUGUUUUUUAUCAGUCGUCAUGAAAAAAACAUAAGGGGUAACACUGUCGUUUUUUAUUGGUCGUCAUGAAAAGAAACACAAGGGGUAACAUUGUAGUUUUUUAUUGGUCGUCAUGAAAAAAAACAUGAGGGGCAACACUGUCGUUUUUUAUUGGUCUUCAUGAAAAAAACAUAAAUGGGGUAACACUUUGGUUUUUUUGGUUGUCAUGAAAAAAACAUAAAGGUUGUUUACGACCACUGUCGUUUUUUAUUGGUCUUCAUGAAAAAAAACAUAAAUGGGGUAACACUGUUGUUUUUUAUUGGUCGUCAUGAAAAAAACCAUAAAGGGUAACACUGUUGUUUUUUUUGGUCACCAGGCAAAAAAACAUAAGGGAAAUAAUAGAAAUGCACACAUACAUUUUAAUGUCAUCUAUAUCCUCUUUAUUGUUGUUUGAUUAUUGUGUAUUGUCAUCGCCUCAGUCGGCAGUGGAGUGCACUCUGCCUAACCCCCUGGAAACCGGGGUUCAAGUCCGGUUGAUGUCUUCUGUUGGAAGACUCUUAUCUCUAUUUCAUGCGAAUUAUAAAGUCAAGUAUAACCUUUGUGAUUACUUUAUUUGGUGUCUUGAUGGUGCAUAGUUAAGUUCGGAGGUUAACACUCUAAACAGCCGAUGUUCGGAACCCCGCAAAAACGUUGACAGGUGUGCCACUGUCGUUAUAUAUUGGUCAACAUGGAAAAAACAUGAGGGGUAACUCUGUCGUUUUUUAUCGGCCGUAAUGAAAUAAAUAUCAGGGGUAACACUGUCGAUAUUUAUCAAAUAAAAUAUAGGGGGUUACACUGUUGUUUUUUAAUGGUCGUCAUGAAAAAAAACAGAAGGGGUAACACUGUUGUUUUUUAUUGGUUGUCAUGAAAAAAAACAUAAGGGGUAACACUGUUGUUUUUUAUUGGUCAUCAUAAAAAAAAACAUAAGGGGUAACAAUGUUGUUUUUUAUUGGUCGUCAUGAAAAAAUAAAUCAAUGGUAACACUGUUGUUUUUGUCAAAUAAAAUAUAAGGGGUAACACUGUCGUUUCUUAUUGGUCUUCAUGAAAAAAAACAUAAGGAAAAUAAUAGAAAUACACACAUACAUUUUAAUGUCAUGUAUAUCCUCUUUAUUGAUGAUUGAUUUUUGUGUAUUGUCAUCCCCUCAGUGGUGCAGUGGAGUGUACUCUGCCUAACCCCCUGGAGACCGGGGUUCAAGACAGGUUGAUGUCCUCCGUUGGAAGACUUCUAUUUCAUGCGAAUUAUAAAGUCAAGUGUAUAACCAUUGUGAUGGCUUUAUUCAGUGUCUUGAUGGUGCAUUGAUAAGUUUGGAGGUUAACACUCUAAACAGCUCAGGUUCGCAUCCCCGCAAAAAUGUUGACUGGGGUACCACUGUAAUUUUUAAUUGGUCGUCAUGAAAAAAAACAUAAGGGGUAACACUGUUGUUUUUUAUUGGUCUUCAUAAAAAAAACAUAAGGGGUAACACUGUUGUUUUUUAUUGGUCGUCAUGAAAAAAAACAAACGGGGUAACACUGUUGUUUUUUAUUGGUCGCCAUGAAAAAAAAC